GUUAUCAUCUGAUCACCGAAGUUAAGCAAAGUCAAGCCUGGUCAGUACCUAGAUAGGUGACCACUGAGGAAUACCAGGUGUUGUAUU